AUUGCAAUUGUGAAUAAAAUCUGCUUUAUCAGAGAUACCGUCCUAGAAAAUUAUUUGGAUAUUUCCUACAAGACUAUAUUGAUAACGCAGGAAAAUCACCCCCUAUAUCAUACCACUACUACUGCUGCUAUAUGCAAUACAAGAAGUUACAAAGCAAUACCAAUAAGUAAGAAGCACACAAUCCCAGUUAUUAUAAAGGCUGGAUGCUAUUUUCUGCCUUGAGAUGAGGUCAAAGGUAUCAUGCUGGAACCCACGUAAGGCCAGUCCAUAAUCUUUCUUGUGCUGUGUCUUCCCAUAUUCUGCUUUUUGUUUAUUAGGAAUAAAUUUCAUGUUAGAUGAGUAUGCUCAAUGAUAGCUUAUUCAGUGGGAGAAUGAUGAAUGCCUGUAAUAUGUCUAACCUCCCAUUCUUGGAGGAAAGUUCGUGUGGCCUUCGAAGUAUUUGCAGGUCCGUUAUUGUCUUUAACCAAGUUACGCACAGGCUGCAGAGAUGCAGCAGCAGAUGACGUAGGCGAGGCACAGGAAGGGAGCGUCAUGGUGAACGACGUGGGCGGGGCGGAGGGCGGGGGCGGUGCCGCGAACGUUGGGGGUGGAGCGGAUGGUGAAAGCGCGACGAUCAUCACGGGCCGGGCCAAAGGCAGGAGCGGAAUGAGUGCCGGGGGCGGAGCUGGGGGCAGCGGCGACGGGGGGGGGUUGCGAUUUCUCUUCUCCGCGGUCAGGGAUGGGGUCGGAGCUGCUAAUCGAAUCCGGACCAGGGCUGUUUUCUGCACCGAGGGCAGCCGUUGGGCCGCUAUCUGCGCAGCCGCAGCCUCCUCUACGGUAAGCUCCUGUUUUGCCUGCCCGGCCCCUUCUCUAAUCACCGGCCUCGGUUGCUCUUGCUCCACCCCCACAGCACCCCCUCCUCCCCCCGCAUACAGUGGAGGGGCCAUAGGUGCCGUUACGGAAACAGCGGUGGGUAUAGGCACCAUCCCGGGUACAUACGAGAACACUGGUGCAGCCCCAGUAACCCUCCAAUUAGACGCCGCGGGAGGCCACGUAGGCGCCGCCCAAGGUACAUCAUCCUCUGCUCCCGGCACGACUCCUCUGGUCCCUCCGCUCCUUCCAGAUGUAUCCGCCUCCAACUCCUCCUGUUGCCCAGCCUCUGAUUCCGCCCUACUCCCCUGUUCAACUUCCGCUGCAUCCUCCUCACCCCUUUUCGCAGGCUCCUUCCCUGACUCCUCACCUUCCUCCCCAUGCUGA
rnacentral:lncRNA from 1 species